CCUACGGGAGGCAGCAGUGGGGAAUAUUGCACAAUGGGGGAAACCCUGAUGCAGCGACGCCGCGUGAGCGAGGAAGUAUUUCGGUAUGUAAAGCUCUAUCAGCAGGGACGAAAAAAGACGGUACCUGACUAAGAAGCCCCGGAUAACUACGUGCCAGCAGCCGCGGUAAUACGUAGGGGGCAAGCGUUAUCCGGAUUUACUGGGUGUAAAGGGAGCGUAGACGGCAAGGCAAGCCAGAAGUGAAAGGGCCGGGCUCAACCCUGUACCUGCUUUUGGAACUGUGGUGCUAGAGUGCAGGAGAGGUAAGUGGAAUUCCUAGUGUAGCGGUGAAAUGCGUAGAUAUUAGGAAGAACACCAGUGGCGAAGGCGGCUUACUGGACUGUAACUGACGUUGAGGCUCGAAAGCGUGGGGAUCAAACAGGAUUAGAUACCCCGGUAGUC
rnacentral:rRNA from 1 species